GGUUAAGCGACUAAGCGUACACGGUGGAUGCCCUGGCAGUCAGAGGCGAUGAAGGACGUGCUAAUCUGCGAUAAGCGUCGGUAAGGUGAUAUGAACCGUUAUAACCGGCGAUUUCCGAAUGGGGAAACCCAGUGUGUUUCGACACACUAUCAUUAACUGAAUCCAUAGGUUAAUGAGGCGAACCGGGGGAACUGAAACAUCUAAGUACCCCGAGGAAAAGAAAUCAACCGAGAUUCCCCCAGUAGCGGCGAGCGAACGGGGAGCAGCCCAGAGCCUGAAUCAGUGUGUGUGUUAGUGGAAGCGUCUGGAAAGGCGCGCGAUACAGGGUGACAGCCCCGUACACAAAAAUGCACAUGCUGUGAGCUCGAUGAGUAGGGCGGGACACGUGGUAUCCUGUCUGAAUAUGGGGGGACCAUCCUCCAAGGCUAAAUACUCCUGACUGACCGAUAGUGAACCAGUACCGUGAGGGAAAGGCGAAAAGAACCCCGGCGAGGGGAGUGAAAAAGAACCUGAAACCGUGUACGUACAAGCAGUGGGAGCACGCUUAGGCGUGUGACUGCGUACCUUUUGUAUAAUGGGUCAGCGACUUAUAUUCUGUAGCAAGGUUAACCGAAUAGGGGAGCCGAAGGGAAACCGAGUCUUAACUGGGCGUUAAGUUGCAGGGUAUAGACCCGAAACCCGGUGAUCUAGCCAUGGGCAGGUUGAAGGUUGGGUAACACUAACUGGAGGACCGAACCGACUAAUGUUGAAAAAUUAGCGGAUGACUUGUGGCUGGGGGUGAAAGGCCAAUCAAACCGGGAGAUAGCUGGUUCUCCCCGAAAGCUAUUUAGGUAGCGCCUCGUGAAUUCAUCUCCGGGGGUAGAGCACUGUUUCGGCAAGGGGGUCAUCCCGACUUACCAACCCGAUGCAAACUGCGAAUACCGGAGAAUGUUAUCACGGGAGACACACGGCGGGUGCUAACGUCCGUCGUGAAGAGGGAAACAACCCAGACCGCCAGCUAAGGUCCCAAAGUCAUGGUUAAGUGGGAAACGAUGUGGGAAGGCCCAGACAGCCAGGAUGUUGGCUUAGAAGCAGCCAUCAUUUAAAGAAAGCGUAAUAGCUCACUGGUCGAGUCGGCCUGCGCGGAAGAUGUAACGGGGCUAAACCAUGCACCGAAGCUGCGGCAGCGACGCUUAUGCGUUGUUGGGUAGGGGAGCGUUCUGUAAGCCUGCGAAGGUGUGCUGUGAGGCAUGCUGGAGGUAUCAGAAGUGCGAAUGCUGACAUAAGUAACGAUAAAGCGGGUGAAAAGCCCGCUCGCCGGAAGACCAAGGGUUCCUGUCCAACGUUAAUCGGGGCAGGGUGAGUCGACCCCUAAGGCGAGGCCGAAAGGCGUAGUCGAUGGGAAACAGGUUAAUAUUCCUGUACUUGGUGUUACUGCGAAGGGGGGACGGAGAAGGCUAUGUUGGCCGGGCGACGGUUGUCCCGGUUUAAGCGUGUAGGCUGGUUUUCCAGGCAAAUCCGGAAAAUCAAGGCUGAGGCGUGAUGACGAGGCACUACGGUGCUGAAGCAACAAAUGCCCUGCUUCCAGGAAAAGCCUCUAAGCAUCAGGUAACAUCAAAUCGUACCCCAAACCGACACAGGUGGUCAGGUAGAGAAUACCAAGGCGCUUGAGAGAACUCGGGUGAAGGAACUAGGCAAAAUGGUGCCGUAACUUCGGGAGAAGGCACGCUGAUAUGUAGGUGAAGUCCCUCGCGGAUGGAGCUGAAAUCAGUCGAAGAUACCAGCUGGCUGCAACUGUUUAUUAAAAACACAGCACUGUGCAAACACGAAAGUGGACGUAUACGGUGUGACGCCUGCCCGGUGCCGGAAGGUUAAUUGAUGGGGUUAGCGCAAGCGAAGCUCUUGAUCGAAGCCCCGGUAAACGGCGGCCGUAACUAUAACGGUCCUAAGGUAGCGAAAUUCCUUGUCGGGUAAGUUCCGACCUGCACGAAUGGCGUAAUGAUGGCCAGGCUGUCUCCACCCGAGACUCAGUGAAAUUGAACUCGCUGUGAAGAUGCAGUGUACCCGCGGCAAGACGGAAAGACCCCGUGAACCUUUACUAUAGCUUGACACUGAACAUUGAGCCUUGAUGUGUAGGAUAGGUGGGAGGCUUUGAAGUGUGGACGCCAGUCUGCAUGGAGCCGACCUUGAAAUACCACCCUUUAAUGUUUGAUGUUCUAACGUGGACCCGUAAUCCGGGUUGCGGACAGUGUCUGGUGGGUAGUUUGACUGGGGCGGUCUCCUCCUAAAGAGUAACGGAGGAGCACGAAGGUUGGCUAAUCCUGGUCGGACAUCAGGAGGUUAGUGCAAUGGCAUAAGCCAGCUUGACUGCGAGCGUGACGGCGCGAGCAGGUGCGAAAGCAGGUCAUAGUGAUCCGGUGGUUCUGAAUGGAAGGGCCAUCGCUCAACGGAUAAAAGGUACUCCGGGGAUAACAGGCUGAUACCGCCCAAGAGUUCAUAUCGACGGCGGUGUUUGGCACCUCGAUGUCGGCUCAUCACAUCCUGGGGCUGAAGUAGGUCCCAAGGGUAUGGCUGUUCGCCAUUUAAAGUGGUACGCGAGCUGGGUUUAGAACGUCGUGAGACAGUUCGGUCCCUAUCUGCCGUGGGCGCUGGAGAACUGAGGGGGGCUGCUCCUAGUACGAGAGGACCGGAGUGGACGCAUCACUGGUGUUCGGGUUGUCAUGCCAAUGGCACUGCCCGGUAGCUAAAUGCGGAAGAGAUAAGUGCUGAAAGCAUCUAAGCACGAAACUUGCCCCGAGAUGAGUUCUCCCUGACCCUUUAAGGGUCCUGAAGGAACGUUGAAGACGACGACGUUGAUAGGCCGGGUGUGUAAGCGCAGCGAUGCGUUGAGCUAACCGGUACUAAUGAACCGUGAGGCUUAACCUU
rnacentral:rRNA from 1 species